CAGACUAUUUUGGGAGCUGGAAGAUGUUAGCACACGAUUCAUUAUGACAGUUGUUUGACAUUUUUUGUGGCUAAACACAGCUGAUAGUAGACUUCUGAAUUUUAUCCAAUAAGGACCCAUCAAUCAGCUUGUGGCAAUGUCAACCACACCCCUUAAAGUUAGACUUGUCCCCACCCACUCGUUUUACUGCAAUAAACUUUGAGCCAUUCAGAUGAAAACUGGACAGCAUUCCGGCACUCCCUGAUCACAGCCAACCUGCAACUCACAUCCCUAACCCACCGAACUUCAAUAGAGCACCUCUCACAAUAUAACUUGCUUUGCAAAAGUGAGGAAUGAAGAAAGAAAGCGGAUAAAGAGAAAAUGACCAUAAGCUGGAAUGAUGACGUGGAUGCUUCAGACGACUAAAAUAAGGAGACACCAAUCGUUGCUACGACAGGACAUAUAACAUAAUUCCUCACUUUCCAUCAAGGUUGUGGAUGCACUGGUGCAAAUCAAUAGACAAAAUGGAUUACCUGACAAAUAAUAGAGGUUUCAGCCUGCUUUUGAAUUUCCUUCUCAUUGUCAUUGUAUUGUUAUUAAUGUUUAUUAUCGUUAAACUCAUGUGAUUUUUAUUUUCUGCGUAAUUCAUAUUUUCCUGUAAUUCUCUGAGAAAAUUCACUGCGGCAACUGCAGCUUUCAGAAUGGGAAGAUGGACUCAAUCACAAUGAACCAUUUAUCUGUCAUCUAUUGAGAUCCACGUCAGAGAAAGGUGCACACUUUCUACAAAGGCCUUUGCAAUGAUUACUAUUUUUAAAAUGUACAAACAUAGCCUGUGAUAUAAGCACCCAUUAAGAAAUACUAAAGCUAUUAGAAAUGCAUGAUCUGCUCCAAGGAACAUCCCCAAUAAAUUCACAAGGCAACCACGUGAAAUAAUUUUCUUUCAUAAUCCAUUGAAUAUGUAUCAAAUCAGAAUUUAGGGAUGUUAUCUGACUGGUAAUCAAUAAGAGUUCAUUGUGUUUACCAUUGGUCCAUCAUUCAAAUGUGCAUUUUUGCUCAGGUGUACCAUUGAAUUAUUUCAAAAUGGUGAGAAUCUUUGGAAACAUGAUUUGAUAUUGAACUCCAUAAGGAUAUCUGAGCUCAUUAUAUCUGGAAUCCAAUACUCAAGCAAUCAAGGUAGAGGAAAACGGGCACUGUGUUAAUGAUGUUCUAAAAUCAAUCAAAAGUCCUCUCCUGAUUUCUGCCCACAAUAUUUGAUUUCAGCUUCUCUACACAAUGUUUCUUAAUCAACAGGCCUCAAGGAUUUAAUCCCUGUUCCAAUGGUACAGAGGUAAUGAUGGAUGUACAAUAAAUACCACAAAACACAUUCAGUAUUCUCCCUCUCAGGCUCCUUCAGAGAAACAAGGGUCAGGCAGUAAAUGGUGGUUUUAUUCCAGAGUAGAUUUUGUACUAUUUAUUGCACCAUCUAGUGCCCAAAGCUCAGAUUCAAUAUAGUGUUAACCGAAACAUAAACUGAAUUGCAUUUAACAACACUUAAUGGUCGCAUGUAAUCAGAUGAAUGUAGAAUAAUGGUAUCAAUUUUACAUCCAUGUUGUGCACAUCAAUAUUCCGAUAUUCUGGAGCCAGUGCUCCCCAAGGAACUAAAUACAAGGCGGUUUUGGACAAAGAGUCAUGUUUGGUCAUGAGCAUUAAAGGUGUGGCAUGAUAUCGGGUGACAUUAAAUGGUUGGCAGACAAACACCACAAGGCCCAUUCAGGAUCAGUGACCAAAGAUGAACUUCAGACAUACACCCAGCUGAAAACUGAAAAUUAACCGAAUGUCCAAACUCUGUUCACUUUAACAAAGGGCACGAACAUAUCACACUCGGAAGAAUUCAAGCUUUGUGUUAGCUUCACAACCUUUAAGGCACUUCCAGUUAAGAGAAACUGAAUAAUUCUCACAGCAUGGAAAUCACAUUAUAAUCCUAUGAGGAAACCUUUUAGCUCAAAGGUGAAUUGGUGUUUGAAAGAAAAAUUCUUUACAGAAAUGUAACUCCUGUUCAAUGCAAUAAGGCCUGUGUAUUUGAGUAAUGUAGUCAAUGUUGCCUUAGGAAGCCUCUUUAGAAAUGAAACCUCAAGAAUGAAACCUUCUGCAAGAAUUUCUACAAACACAGAAUGUAUAAGAUGCUGGGAGAUUCUGACACUGAAAUCACUCCAUUGCGGGUGAAAUGCUGAAGCACCAGGGUUAAUUAAAUUUGUGUGAACUCUUCGGCAAGUUGCGUUUUUGAGUUUCAUUCCUUGUCAUCAAAACUCCUUUGAGAUCAGAGAAAGUUUCAACCAGACACGGAAAAAACUCAAGACAUGCCUUUGCUGGAAGCAGCACCUAUCUUUGCCACUGGUAUCUCUUUGGUCAACAACAUUUUCCCCAUAAAACCGGUCAAGGUUGGUUUCCAUGGUGCUACACUCAAAAGAUUUGUGGAUACAUUGGUCAAUUUGUAACAACAACUUAUGUCUAAAAUGACACAAAGUGCUGGAGUAUCACAGCGGGUCAGGCAGCAUAUCUGGAGAACGUGGAUAGGUGAUAUUUUCAGUUUGGGAUCCUUCUUUGGUCUGAAGAAGGGUCCUAACUUGAAACGUCACCUAUCGAUGUUCUCCAGAGAUGCUGCCUGACUGGCCGUGAAUCUCCAGCACUUUGUGUCCUUUUCGUGUAAACCAGCAUCUGCAGUUCCUUGUUUCAAUAUUUAUGUACAUUGUGAGUCAUUGCACAAUACAAAAGUGUGGCUAAUCUUUGUUAAUGAGCUUGAAAUAAAAAAAGUAUUAAAACAGUUAUCACCCAUA